rnacentral:rRNA from 1 species
GGGCGAAGCCUUGAUCCGCCUUGCCGCGUGUCUGAAGAAGGCCUUCGGGUCGUAAAGGACUUUUGUCCGGGAGCAAAUCCCAGUGGUUAAUACCUACUGGGGCUGAGAGUACCGGAAGAAUAAGCACCGGCUAACUACGUGCCAGCAGCCGCGGUAAUACGUAGGGUGCAAGCGUUAAUCGGAAUUACUGGGCGUAAAGCGUGCGCAGGCGGUUGUGCAAGUCUGAUGUGAAAGCCCCGGGCUUAACCUGGGAACGGCAUUGGAGACUGCACGACUAGAGUGCGUCAGAGGGGGGUAGAAUUCCGCGUGUAGCAGUGAAAUGCGUAGAGAUGCGGAGGAAUACCGAUGGCGAAGGCAGCCCCCUGGGAUGACACUGACGCUCAUGCACGAAAGCGUGGGGAGCAAACAGGAUUAGAUACCCUGGUAGUCCACGCCCUAAACGAUGUCAACUAGCUGUUGGGGGUUUGAAUCCUUGGUAGCGUAGCUAACGCGAGAAGUUGACCGCCUGGGGAGUACGGCCGCAAGGUUAAAACUCAAAGGAUUUGAACGGA